GGAAAUUGCACUUAAUUACAGUAGUUUAUAGUUUACAGCCAUUGGACAAAUUUACUUCUUUAAAAGAAAUCUCAAGAUCAUUUGGGAUGGGGGCAGGGGAGGGAGUCUGUGGAUAUUUACAGUGUGUUUGGCUCAGUUCAAUAGCACAUGUCCUUCUCUCCUCAUUUCAGUAACAGAUUCAAGUUUUUGCAUCAGUUUGUUCGAUGAAGGAUCACAACAUAGACAGUACGGCUUUCUUGCUUCCUCUUCAGUGGUUCUUUGUCUCCCACCUCCAGGACAGACAGGAGUCCUUGACAUCGUGGGAGAGGCAUUGUGGCAAUACUGCAUAGAAGGGAAGCUGGGCUUCGGGCUGCGCCUCCUGAGAGUGGAUUGUCUGAGGUGCCAGCAGGACGUCCGUCAGAUUUCAGGUGGAGGAGAGAGAAAACGGCUUGUGACCUUGCAGGUUUCAAAAGAAGAGCAAACAAGAAGGGCAGAUAAGGAGACGCCAGUGAGAUUCUAUGGCCUGUCAUUAGGGAUGGGCUUCCCAGCUAUCAAAUGUUUGCUCACAUAAUAAAAUGGUGGCAGAGCCCAAAAUGUUGUCAAAAGAACUAGAGUUAUUUGCCUCCUUCAGAGUCUAAACACAAACAUCUGAUAAGGGGUGCACUGUGGUCCCUUAGAACUGGAGGCCCAGCACACGCAGCCCCACGGGGGCCUGGCCCAGAAGAUCUCUGAGAGACCGCGGGGCCCUCCGUCUGAAAAGUGUGGUAGCUGUGGCAAAUGUGAAGGACAUCUUUAUUCUAAGAGGGUUUGUUACAUAAUGGUAAGAGCUAACAUUUAUCGACAUCCUACUGUGUGCCAGGCACCAUACUAAGGGCUUCACAAGCAUCACUGCCUCAAAUUCUUACAUCGACCCUUUGAAGUAGGUGAUUAUCGUGAAUUCAUUUAACACGUUUGAGUGCCUACUGUGUACUUGGCACUUUUUUAGACACUGGAGAUGCAGCUGUAAACAAGACCCUG
rnacentral:lncRNA from 1 species